AGUGAACGCUGGCGGUAGGCCUAACACAUGCAAGUCGAACGGCAGCACAGUAAGAGCUUGCUCUUACGGGUGGCGAGUGGCGGACGGGUGAGGAAUACAUCGGAAUCUACUUUUUCGUGGGGGAUAACGUAGGGAAACUUACGCUAAUACCGCAUACGACCUACGGGUGAAAGCAUGGGAUCUUCGGACCUUGCGCGAUUGAAUGAGCCGAUGUCGGAUUAGCUAGUUGGCGGGGUAAAGGCCCACCAAGGCGACGAUCCGUAGCUGGUCUGAGAGGAUGAUCAGCCACACUGGAACUGAGACACGGUCAAGACUCCUACGGGAGGCAGCAGUGGGGAAUAUUGGACAAUGGGCGCAAGCCUGAUCCAGCCAUACCGCGUGGGUGAAGAAGGCCUUCGGGUUGUAAAGCCCUUUUGUUGGGAAAGAAAAGCAGCAGGUUAAUACCCCGCUGUUCUGACGGUACCCAAAGAAUAAGCACCGGCUAACUUCGUG
rnacentral:rRNA from 1 species